CGGCAGCGCCCUGGCUGAUCCAGUCCAACACCUGUGUCCACAAGACACGGGCGCGAACCUCCGUUGAUGGAUUGGCGCCAACGGCACGAACGCGAGGGAUGCUGUCGCGCCCUAGGCCGGCGGGCCGUCUUCGUCGCCGGCGAGCUUCCCGUAGGCACCAUUCUUUCCUGUCCUUCCCCCACUUGUACCGCAUACCGGCAUGGCAUGCUUCUUGGCCCGGCCAGGACGCGGCGGGCAACGUGGCGAGGCUGUCAGAGCGCAUCGCCUGGCGUGGCGUCCCAGCGGCAGCAUCCACGGUGUCACCGUCAUCGUCCCCGAGGAGAAGUCCGACGUCUUCGACUCCCUCAGAUCGAUUCUUCCUUCUUUCCACAUUACGGCAUUACACAGAGCAGUCGGUCACCUGUUCGAUAGAUUGCCCAUGUGCUGGAAGGGAGUAAGUACAUAUCGCAAUCUUGUGUUUAACUCCAAAUUUUGCCUGUUCUGGUUCAGUCGAUUAUUAGGCAGUGCCUCCUUGCAACACAAUAAACCUUGCAGUGAAUAUACGUGCAGUCCGAAGCUCUGGCCUCGCUCAUACUGUCUUCUUUAAUUUGACAAACUGCUUCACUGCACAAGGAUCUAGUGUGCGACUACCUGAUCCUGACAAAUACAAGAUUUCAGUUCCUCGCUUCAAAGCAGGUUUGCACACUUUUUGGUGAAAAGUUGGCCGCGUUCAAUACCGCAUUCAAGUUAUGUAUGUCUUUUCGCUGUAGUGCAGAUAUGCUAUUCUGGUAAGUUUGCUCCCCUCGUUCUUCUAGGGCCAUUAUUUGGUUGAGUUGUAGUAUAGUAGAUGGCAAGAAGGUAGUACUCAGGUGGACAUUACUUGUGUGAUAAGAUUUUGGGUUUCGUUUUGUGAUUACCAAAAUAUGAUAUUCAUCAAACAGAUGCACCUUUUCUGCUACAGCAACUAUAAUCAUCGUUUACCAACGAUCCUGAAAAUAAACAAGAGCAACAGAUAUUAGAACUGGCUGAAGGUACAGAUUAUAUUCUGCUGGUUCGUGGGCUGGGUGUCCAAAUUCAUUAUGAUUGGGCGUAGGUGUGUAAUGGUUCAACUUUAUAUGGGGUUUCACAGUACAAAAGGUUCCUACAUUCGUAGCUGCAGUAGUUAAAAUACAUGCAGUUCUAUGAAACUCAACGAAAUAGAUCUGUACUUUCAAAUUGAUGAAGUAUAUGUUAAACCAGUGGUUUUUGUAAGAACAACAAUUCUAUUCCGUCCCAAUGGAAUUCUGCCCAUCAAGGCUAUAAGAGAAUACUGAAUUUAUAUAAUUUAUAACCAUUGAGUUGUGGCUUACAUUAAUAAACUUAGCCACGCAAUUGCACAUGCUUAGCUUGCUGUACAAUGAGGUGGAGGUGCAGAUUUAGUAGUCAAUUAGUGGUCCAGCAACUGCACAUGUACUAGUAUUCUAUUUAUAAGGACAAGUUGGAAAUUUGAAAUAAUUAUUCACAGCGAGGUAAGAAUGUUUCCUUGUGCUGACUUGAACACCUACGGCACAAAUACUUUAGUCCCAAUGAGGUGGACACCACAGACUUUAGUUUGGAAUUUUCGCAUCUGUCUGUGAACUUCCACUCUACUUUUUGCAGCAAGACUUGUAGUUGUCAACUCUUCUCUGCCCUUCCAGUUCUAGGUAAAGAACAGCAGAAGGCUAUUAAACCUACGUCUGCUCCUGCCUCCUCCGAUCAGCUUCUACUGCAAGUCUCCUAGCUAUAUGGCUCCGUUUCCAUCUGGGAUAAUGUCCCCAGUUGUUGACCUCUUCGUACGCGAGUUAUGGAAGCCAAUUAAGAAGCACUUUGGUUACUGUCUCAAGCCUGAAAGCAAAGUUCGCAAACUAGCAAAAGCUGCUGAUGAUUUGAAGGAAAAUAUAGAUCUUGUGAAGGAGAAAAUUAAAUUGGGUGAACUCGAGGGCAAGAAACCGAGGGUGCAAGCAACAAGGUGGAUAGACGACAGUGCUAAGUUAGUUGAAGAUGAAUCAUACAGAAUCAAGAAUACGUACGAUGGAAGGAGCACACAUAUCUUUGGUUGCUCCUGGAAUUGUUUCUUCAACUACAGAAUUAGCAGUGCUGCCACCAAGAAGAAGGCUGAUGCUGACGAAUUCAAGGAGAGUACUCCCAAGAAUGAUAGUAUCUUCAGUUUGCUCCCACCAGUUGGCAGAGAGCUGCCUCUGCCACCUAACAUCAUGGGGCAAAACAGGUACAUGAAAGAGAUUGUUGCUUGCAUCAAACAAGGCACCACGAGCUUCAUUGGGAUAUGUGGCAUGGGAGGGGCUGGCAAGACUACUCUCCUUAAGCAAUUAAAUAACAUAUUCAGCUGUGCUGCAGAAACACAUGAAUUCGAUUACAUCAUUUAUGUGGAAGUCGGUCAGCAGCAAGAUCUUGAUACGGUUCGGCAAAAUGUUGCAUCCCAACUUGGCUUGGUGAUAGGAAAGGAUGAAAGCACAACAUUUAGAUCUUCAUCCCUUUAUAACUUCUUGAAAGAAAGGAAGUUUCUGUUGUUGAUAGAUGACCUUUGGCAAACAUUGGACCUAGUGCAGAUCGGCAUACCGCAAGGUGGCAGGCUGAUUGGCCCUCAAAAUAGGCAGAUGAUAGUAAUCACCACACGCUUACAGCAUCUAUGUCACAGAAUGCAAGUGCAUGGUCAGCUGAUUAUGUUACAAAGGCUGGAGUUUGAGGAAGCUUGGAAUCUCUUUGAUGCGAACGCAGGAUGCAAUAGAGUAACCAACAGCAGUGCACAAAUCAGAGUUUAUGCCAAGAGUAUUGUGAAUAUGUGUGGAGGCCUUCCGCUAGCUCUUAAGAUAGUUGGUCAGGCUAUGGCAUCAAAAGAAAGUGAACAUGAGUGGAAGCAUGCUAUGAUACUGCUUCGACGGUCUCAGUUCCACAAAGUUCCAGAUGCAGAAAGUAACCUAUUUUCUUUGCUGUAUAUUAGCUAUGAAAACCUGCCAGAUGAGAGGACAAAACACUGUUUUCUUUUCUUUGUCUUGGCUGGAUAUGAUCAUUAUAGUUACGUUCCGUAUGCAAUAAAUUUAUGGAUAGGACAUGGAUUUCUCGAUGAAGAUGAUGACAUCAGAAACAACUAUUUGAGAGGUCACUCCGUUGUUGGAUGUUUAAAAAGAGCCUGCCUGUUAGAAGAACAUCCUCGAGGGGAAAAUUAUGUGAGGAUGCACGAUAUAAUCCGAGGUCUAGCUCUUUGGAUUGUACAAAUGCAACAGGGUGAUAGACAUAACAAUAAGUGGCAAGUGCGCCUCUGUGGAGAACCUAUGGAACCAGAAGAGUGGAGCACUGCCCAGAGGAUUUCGCUCACGGGCAUGAAUCCUAUUAAUAUCCCCGAUUCUUGCAGUUGCAGUUGCCUAUUGACUCUCUCGGUUCCAAGAAGCAAGAUUAUUGGAAGUGUUCCUACUGGCUUUUUCAGAACUGCUCCGUCUCUCACCUACUUGGAUCUAAGCCAAACCAAUAUUCAAGAACUUCCAUCAGAUGUUGGAGCAUUAUUGAACUUGCAACACCUUGAUCUUUCACACACCCCAAUCCGAGCGAUCCGAAUGGAGCUUCAACUAUUGAAAAGUUUGAGGUACCUAUACUUAGGGCAUACGCGUCGGCUGAAAACUAUCCCAGAUGGGACCAUAUCUUCACUAAGUAAGUUGAGGGUACUCGAUUUAUACAACAGUGGUCUUUUCUCAGUGGACAGAACACAGGCAUACAUUGAGGAGCUGGAGAGUUUGGUAUGGUUACAAUCUCUUGGGUUCACGGUGGAUGAUUCUGAGUCGCUUCACAGGCUACUCAAUUUUUCUAAUAACUCCUUGAAAUUCCUUAAUGUACAAGGAGUUGAAGGCUUGCAAUUUCUCCAUAUUUCACCAUCGCUUAUUGGCAUAAUGAGGGCACAUCAACUUGAGAAGUUGAUGUUUCGUGGAAUGAAAAGCCUGGAGGAGUUGCUGAUUGGUGAAACCAUUGUGGCUUCAGAUUGGAACUUUCAAAGCCUUGACGAUCUUAUAUUGGUUCAUCUCCCAAAAUUGGAAAGCAUUGUAUGGAAAGGUGUGGUGCCUCAUGUUUGCCUUCCCACACUUCGUUUUCUAGUGAUGUAUGGCUGCCACAGCAUCAAGACACUUACGUGGAUCAAGGAGCUGCCCUGCCUAAAAGAGAUAUAUCUGAUUGACUGUGGUUCAAUGUUGGAGUUGGUGGCUGAUGAUGAAGAAGCAAACACGUCAACUGCCGCACAUUCAUUUCCUCGUCUCAAGUUACUUGGACUAAGCCAGCUUGGGAACCUGCAGAACAUAUGUGGUGGCACACUUUCUUUCCCGUGUUUUCAGCGGUUACUUGUGUACAAGUGUCCUAUGCUACUGAAAUUGCCAUCCAGAUUACUGACAGAAGAGCGUCUGUCACUGAUACUCGGAAGACAAGACUGGUGGGAACAACUAUGCUGGGAGGAUAGUAGCGUGGAAUCUACUCUCUUCCCAUUCUUCAGAGAAUUGCCUGCAAGUUUUCGAGGAAAUUUCGUAGAUGUUGGCAAUGCAUUAAUUAUGUAGGUAGAAGAAGGAACAAGACUGCUGAAACUGUAUGUCGCGAAAUAUAACAUUGUGAGAAGGUUCGUUGAGAAACUCGCAGAUGGCGGGGAGAUCCUGACCAAUUUCUGGGCUCUCUUCUAUCUUGCCGGCAUUCUGACUCGUUCCUAGAAGCGGACCGCAGGCAUUUCCUAAAGAGGAACUCAGUGUCUAAACUUGUAGGGUGAAAACCCAAGGUCUGGUCUUAAUUGGUUGUGCGUGGCAAUGAUCUUGUUAAAAGCAUUGUUUUGUGAGUGCGGAUUUUCUCCGGGUGAAAACCUAUGAUCGUUGAUCAGGGCGAUGGCGGCGCUUGUGCACUGUUCCCUUCUUGGAGACGUCGCUUUUCAAGAUGAUGGAUUUCUGGUGUUGUCUUGGUGGUGUUUGGUCGCAGCUUCUUUUUUUUGCAUGUGGGCAUCUGUAUUGCCAAUAGAGCAGGCUGGGUGUAAUUGAUAUCUUCACAAUAUUAAUAUAUUUUUCUUUAUCGAAAAAACCCUGUAUGAAUUCAGUUGUUUGCUCGUGAUUAACCACUUCAACCUGUU